rnacentral:rRNA from 1 species
UACGUAGGGUGCAAGCGUUGUCCGGAAUUAUUGGGCGUAAAGAGCUCGUAGGCGGUUUGUCGCGUCGAAUGUGAAAACCCGGGGCCUCAACCCCGGGCCUGCAUUCGAUACGGGCAGACUAGAGUUCGGUAGGGGAGUCUGGAAUUCCUGGUGUAGCGGUGAAAUGCGCAGAUAAUCAGGAGGAACACCGAUUGCGAAGGCAGCUCGCUGGGACGUUACUGACGCUGAGACGCGAAACGUGGGGAGCAAACAGG